rnacentral:rRNA from 1 species
AGGUGGGACCACCGCGCUACUGCCGCCAGGCAAAUUCUGUUAUCAGACCGUUUUUACGUUCUGAUGUAAUCUGAAUCAGUGCUGAAAAUCGUCUCUCAUCCNNNNNNNNNNNNNNNNNNNNGAAUCAGUGCUGAAAAUCGUCUCUCAUCCGCCAAAACAUCUUCGGCGUUGUAAGGUUAAGCCUCACGGUUCAUUAGUACCGGUUAGCUCAACGCAUCGCUGCGCUUACACACCCGGCCUAUCAACGUCGUCGUCUUCAACGUUCCUUCAGGAGACCUAAAGUCUCAGGGAGAACUCAUCUCGGGGCAAGUUUCGUGCUUAGAUGCUUUCAGCACUUAUCUCUUCCGCAUUUAGCUACCGGGCAGUGCCAUUGGCAUGACAACCCGAACACCAGUGAUGCGUCCACUCCGGUCCUCUCGUACUAGGAGCAGCCCCCCUCAGUUCUCCAGCGCCCACGGCAGAUAGGGACCGAACUGUCUCACGACGUUCUAAACCCAGCUCGCGUACCACUUUAAAUGGCGAACAGCCAUACCCUUGGGACCUACUUCAGCCCCAGGAUGUGAUGAGCCGACAUCGAGGUGCCAAACACCGCCGUCGAUAUGAACUCUUGGGCGGUAUCAGCCUGUUAUCCCCGGAGUACCUUUUAUCCGUUGAGCGAUGGCCCUUCCAUUCAGAACCACCGGAUCACUAUGACCUGCUUUCGCACCUGCUCGCGCCGUCACGCUCGCAGUCAAGCUGGCUUAUGCCAUUGCACUAACCUCCUGAUGUCCGACCAGGAUUAGCCAACCUUCGUGCUCCUCCGUUACUCUUUAGGAGGAGACCGCCCCAGUCAAACUACCCACCAGACACUGUCCGCAACCCGGGUAACGGGUCCACGUUAGAACAUCAAACAUUAAAGGGUGGUAUUUCAAGGUCGGCUCCAUGCAGACUGGCGUCCACACUUCAAAGCCUCCCACCUAUCCUACACAUCAAGGCUCAAUGUUCAGUGUCAAGCUAUAGUAAAGGUUCACGGGGUCUUUCCGUCUUGCCGCGGGUACACUGCAUCUUCACAGCGAGUUCAAUUUCACUGAGUCUCGGGUGGAGACAGCCUGGCCAUCAUUACGCCAUUCGUGCAGGUCGGAACUUACCCGACAAGGAAUUUCGCUACCUUAGGACCGUUAUAGUUACGGCCGCCGUUUACCGGGGCUUCGAUCAGGAGCUUCGCUUGCGCUGACCCCAUCAAUUAACCUUCCGGCACCGGGCAGGCGUCACACCGUAUACGUCCACUUUCGUGUUUGCACAGUGCUGUGUUUUUAAUAAACAGUUGCAGCCAGCUGGUAUCUUCGACUGACUUCAGCUCCAUGAGUAAAUCACUUCACCUACGUGUCAGCGUGCCUUCUCCCGAAGUUACGGCACCAUUUUGCCUAGUUCCUUCACCCGAGUUCUCUCAAGCGCCUUGGUAUUCUCUACCUGACCACCUGUGUCGGUUUGGGGUACGAUUUGAUGUUACCUGAUGCUUAGAGGCUUUUCCUGGAAGCAGGGCAUUUGUUGCUUCAGCACCGUAGUGCCUCGUCGUCACGCCUCAGUGUUAAAGUGAACCGGAUUUACCUGGAACACACACCUACACGCUUAAACCGGGACAACCGUCGCCCGGCCAACAUAG